GCCUGCCUGACUCAGUUGGUAGAGUAUGGGACUCUUGAUCUCAGGGGUCAUGAGUUCAAGCCCCAUUUUGGGCA
rnacentral:tRNA from 1 species